AACGAUGAGUGCUAGGUGUUGGAGGGUUUCCGCCCUUCAGUGCCGGAGCUAACGCAUUAAGCACUCCGCCUGGGGAGUACGACCGCAAGGUUGAAACUCAAAGGAAUUGACGGGGGCCCGCACAAGCGGUGGAGCAUGUGGUUUAAUUCGAAGCUACGCGAAGAACCUUACCAGGUCUUGACAUCUUGCGCCAACCCUAGAGAUAGGGCGUUCCCUUCGGGGACGCAAUGACAGGUGGUGCAUGGUCGUCGUCAGCUCGUGUCGUGAGAUGUUGGGUUAAGUCCCGCAACGAGCGCAACCCUUGUUACUAGUUGCCAGCAUUCAGUUGGGCACUCUAGUGAGACUGCCGGUGACAAAMCGGAGGAAGGUGGGGACGACGUCAGAUCAUCAUGCCCCUUAUGACCUGGGCUACACACGUGCUACAAUGGACGGUACAACGAGUCGCGAACUCGCGAGGGCAAGCAAAUCUCUUAAAACCGUUCUCAGUUCGGAUUGCAGGCUGCAACUCGCCUGCAUGAAGUCGGAAUCGCUAGUAAUCGCGGAUCAGCAUGCCGCGGUGAAUA
rnacentral:rRNA from 2 species